rnacentral:lncRNA from 1 species
AGAUCUAGAACCGCUGCAGUGCCGAGCUUCCAGGGACGUGAAGCCGGAAAGCCAGGCGCCCUUCUUGACUGCGCCUAGGUGGAACUGGCCCUCCAGCAGCUUGAACGUAGCCUCUUUUCACACUGGUAGUUCCUGAACCUCUUGUGAAAUGAAAGAUGUUCCUCAUUCCAAGCUGAGGACGGAGAAAAGCCGUAAAGCUGACACUGGUAUCGCACUGUGAUAUUUGUUGUUUUCUAGGUUUGCCAUUUUCCCAUUCAACUUUGCGCAGUCUCAUCCACGCUGAUGACGCCACAAAUCCGUGUCUCUAACCUGGAUCCAGCUCAAAACCCCCAGACCCCUAUCAUUCAGCUCCCUAGGGGACAAUUUCAGCUGGAAGUCCUGCGAACUCCUCACAAUCCACUUAUGAAAAGCGCAUUCAUGUUUUCCUUUAGGACCCCUCUCCUACCACCAUCUCUGUUCCAGCUUGGUAAAACUGGCCAGUUGUCCAAGGCAAAGAGAAGAGCUCUAUCUGCAGUCAUCCCUCACACCUACCUCCACCCUAAGAUCAUGGUCUUAAGACCCUCAUUUGAGAGAUGCCUUCCCUGUACCUGGAGGAAAGAAACAUCUUUAUCUCUGAAGACACAGGGCCACAGAGAAGAGUCUGAACAAACAGGCUUUACCAAUUUCCCCCAGUUGUUACCGUUAGAUCAGACCUUUGUCCAGUCAUAUCCUUCCACAAGUUGUCCACUCAUCAACCCUAAGCAUAAAAAUGCACAAGUUUCCUUGUUUGUUUGGGUCUUCAUUUCCAAGGGCUCCUAUGUCAUGUUAAACUUUUAAAUAAAUUUGCAUGCUUUU